rnacentral:lncRNA from 1 species
CCUUUUGCCACGUUAAUAAACUCUCUUACUCUACCUAAUUCAACUUCUCCUACACAACCUACAGACCCUACCCCCUAAUGACCAAAAUUUCCCAUCUCAACACCAAUUCUACCAGAAAGCCUAAUCUGAAAUAUAAUAACUCUGAUUUUUUCCUAUAUACCACUUCCGCAUAGGUACGUCCCCUACAUUAAAUCAAGAGAUAUGAAACAAAGAAUAUCUCUUUAAGACAAAAAUAUAAUUCUAUUAAGCGAUGAAGCAAGAAUGAAUUAUCAGGGCAGAUAAGUUAUCGCUAAAGGAAUGAUCGAGGAAUAACGCGUAUACAAGGAUUUUUACAAAGGAUCAGUUCGAGAAAUACUCCCAUAGUAUUUCAUGGUUCGCUGCAGCGACGAUUUGUUGUUUAGGAUAUUGGGUAAGUUUUAGGUAUGCCGCAUGCCACAGUCACUCCCAAGCACAUGUUGCCCGUGUCGCGAAUGAAUAUAGUUGGCCAGGCUAUAUUGACCCUAGACACGACUACAUAACUGCCCAGGUUUAACCGCAGCGUACAACACCCAUUUAUUUAUGUUUUUUUCUACUUGUAGUUACGGAUUUCGACGGCUCGGCAUACUUAAAUACUUUUGAAAAUACUUAUAUUUUGUAGGAUACUUUUAGUUCAGAGCACUUAGGCCCCUUAAUGUUUAUAGUCUUAUACCAUGUAAGGUUUGGUAUACUCUGUUCACUAUAAACAAGGGCUCUGAAACCAAUCUGUCACACCCCGAAAACCAAAGGCGGAAACGUUCCCGGGGUUGACUCCAUGUUGUGUAUCAAAUCCAAUGUACAUAGUAAUCACAGUAAACAACCAUUACAUUACAUAGAUCUGAAAGUUUACAUUUGGUUCAAAAGUAAAUUAUACAAAAGUUAUACAUAUAUCAUAUAAUAAAAAGUAGAGACGAGUCUUCUGAGCACUCCAUCUUCAUCAAAAGAUAACGUCGGGUACCUGUCUAACGAGGACCUGAGAAUACAAGCAGUUUGAAAAUCAGCAUAAAGCUGGUGAGUUCAUAAGCGGUUUUGUUUUAUGAAAAUGUAUCGGUUUCCUUUAGUUUUCCAAAAAGGUUUGUUAUUCAAGAAAAUCCCAUAUUUUCUUAUGUUAAUUAGUUUCGUUAACUUUCAUUACAGUUCAGUUAUGUGAUAUACGUUAACCCCAGGAAAAUCCCAUAUUUUCCUAAAUACAAGAUUGAUUAAAUAACAUAGAGUAUAGUUUAAUAUACAAAACUAUAAUUUAGACAAACUGUAUAUAGAAAGUAUUUUGAAAACCCUGGGACUAACAUCCCGAACCAGUUACAAGAUAAUUCGAUAAAGACCAUGGGAUCACUAUCCCGAAAAUAGAUGUAAGAUAACUUGAUAAAAACCAUAGGAUCACUAUCCCGAAACUAGAUAUAUGAUAGAUUGAUAAAAUCAUGGGAUUAUCAUCCCGCAUAAGAUUUAGUUUCAAAGCCAUGGGAUUACCAUCCCGAACGAAAUAUAGACACAAGAUCAUGGGAUUAUCAUCCCGAACGAGAUAUAGACAUAAAACCAUGGGAUUACUAUCCCGAACGAGAUAUAGAUACAAGACCAUGGGAUUAUCAUCCCGAACAAGAUAUAAAUUCUAAACAAAAUCCUAGCUGUGAAUAAAUUUAUUUUAAUACGUAUUGUGAGUCGGGUAACCAUACUGAUACGACAACGAGACCUCCUUGACGUUAGUCAGACGUCGAAUGAUAUACAGAAUUUGUCACCCCAGGCGUGCCCGCCUAACUGUAGCUAGCAGUUAAGGUGUGGGAUUGUCAGUCCCGAAUAGAUCUAUUCACAAAUUCCUCGCUCUCCCUCCAGGAGACUCUGGUUACACUUCCGGAGAGGAUUUACAUAAUCAUCCAUAAAGGGUAGUGACUAUCUCACAAGCUAGUAUUAAACUAUUCACAGAAUUCUCAUACAAAACUAAACAUACAAAGAUUAUAAAACAUGAUACAGUGAAAAUAGAUACAUACAAUGAGAUUAUCUGACAAUAUAUUCAAAUAAUACAGAGAUAAACUGAAUCAGACAUAGUUUAUCUAAUAACUUUAUAUGGAUAUAAAACAAGCGUUAUAGAAUCCCAAAUUAUUCCCAUAAUAAUUUGAUUAGUUUGGUUAUUUUCUUAACUAAAAUCCAUUUAGCUGUAAUUGAUAAAUCAUUCCUUAUGCUCUACAUAAUACAUAAGGAGUAAAAGUAUUGAUAAAUUUGCCAGAUAUUAUUUGAAACACAUAAAUGUUAUGAUUUGAAAACAGUUAUGGUUUGCUUGUAUUCCCCCCUGAAAACAGUUAAAAACAGUGAAAAAGGCGUAGGGGUAUGAACUCACCGGACGAGAAGUAUGACGAUUUGGACGCUAAGAGUUGAUCCGGGGAUUGUAAAUACACGAGGUUCCUAAUUAUAAUGUAAAGAUACACAUUUGUAUCUAAUUAGGACUUAGUUUAUUUAUAUGUUAGGGACACUUGCUUCAAGUCGCGAAAACACUCCGAUACGAGUGUUUGGAGGGACCCGGGUGGCGUUUAAGGACGUGAAAUGACACUAGGGACUUGGGAGUUGAGUUUACUCCCCAUGAGUAAACUAAUAUAAGAGUUUUUGGUCUAAAACACCCAUUCCCCAUGAGUUUACGGCCGUAAACUCAUGGUGGGUGUGGUUUAUGGUGCUAAAUGACUUCAUACACUUAGGGAAUAAUUUCUAGACUUGGCUUAAGGACUUGAAAGGAUUUUAAAACAUAAAAUAGACCCUUAUAUGGGAGUUUACGGCCUAGAAUGGCUUCCUGGCCGUAAACUCCUAUUUUCUCAAGAAAAUGGUGUUAAAUGGUCCCAAAACAAAUCACAUGUGAUUAAUAGAAUUAUUCCAAUGCCUAACAUGAGUUUUAUGGGACAUUUGAGGGGUGUUAUGGAGUUUACGGCCUAUGAGACCCCCCUCAUGGCCGUAAACUCUUCUAUAGGGUGCUACAAGGUGUUUCAAGGUCUAAAACUUGCAUAGAAGGGCUUCUAAAAUUCAUCUAAAGGCUUUAGGGGUGUUUAGUUUGCAUUCUAACACCAUAAAUCUUGGAGUUUACGGCCCAAGAACAAGCCUUGGCCGUAAACUCUUAGAAAUCCCACAAAUGAUGUGUUUAAGGCCCUUAAACUAUUUUUGGUUGGUCCUUUGAUUUAUUCCAAGGCUUUUGGUGGUGUUGGAUGGCUUUCUAACACCUUAGAAUUGAAUUUAUGCCAAGUUUUGGGGAGUUUACGGCCCAAGCACUCACCUUGGCCGUAAACUCAUAUAAGUCCCUCAAAAAUCAUGUUUCAAGUGUCCAAAUGCCAAAACCAAGGUCCUAUAAUUCAUAUCUAAGCCAUAGAAGUGAUUUGGAAGGGUUUAAGGGCAUGAAAAACCCCAUUUACAUGAGUUUACGGCCCAAGCUUAUGCCUUGGCCGUAAACUCCUUCAAAUGACUCAAAAUCCAUGAUUUAAGUGUUGUAAUCCCAUAUCUUGAAGUCCCUUAGCCAUAUCUAAAGUCCAAAUGAGUUUAGGAAGGAGUUUAAGGGCUUAAAACCCUUCAAAAUGGUUUUUACGGCCUAGGCAGCCUCCUGGGCCGUAAACUCACAUAUGUAGUCCCAUUUCAUGAUUAAAUGUCAAAUUUGGAAGCCAAACAUGCUAUAGAUUAAGGCUAGGAAGGUACCUUAAGGAUUUGAGGCCUUAAAAUUGAGUUUUGGACACUUAAUCUUUGGAUUUAGGAGAGAGGUUAGAGAGAGAGUAGAGAGAGAAGGAAAAAGCUUCAAAUGAGAGGUUAAACAUGUUUAUAUAGUUCCUAAAACUUGGACACGGUGGAAUUCUACCCGAUACCGGCCUUAAACGAUGCUUUAGGUCGCACCCGAUUGAGUUUCCGUCACCCGACGAGGAUAUUUCUAAAACUUAUGAAAUAAAUGUUUUGGGCUAAAUUCAUGAGUUCCUAAAUGAUUUGGACCCUCAUUGAAUGAUAAUAAACAUAUAAUUUUAGUUAACUAAACCCAAAAACGAUAUCGGGACAUUUCGAUCUCCGACGAGUUAUACGGGUAGAAUGGGUUUUCGGCGAUGAACAACUUCGGGUUGUUACAUUAUCCCCCCGUUAGAGGGAAUUUCGUCCCGAAAUUCAAAGAAUAAGAUACAGGUCAUGGAUUGGAAUGAAACACGAAUGGAUUUGUUGCUUCGGAUCUUCACUUUCUCAAGUGGAAUCAGGUCUCUACUGGGCGUUCUAACGAAUUCUCAUUAUCGGGACAUGUCUUGGUUUCGCUUCUUGACUCUCUCUCAAUCUACGAUAUCAAUCUGCUUUCUCGUGGAAGUUCCAACCCUGAACGACUUCGGUUUCCUCAAAGGAAUCACUAGGGUUUCGUUGGGCAGACGCUUCUAAGGAUUCGAGACGUGAUGGUCUAGAUAGAUAUUACCAAGCUCUAAGGGCAUCCGAAACCUGAAGGUUGCAGAAUCGAUCUCUACGAAGAUCUCGAAAGGUCUGAUGUGAGACUAAACUAGACGCUCGAAAGAAACUCCCGGGAAUCCUUCGGGAUAGACAUUUAGAGGGAAGAGCUGCUAACUUCCCGUUUCUCAAUAAUCACAGAAACGAGGGAUGCGUGAUAAUUCACAUUGGGAAAACUUUUGAGUUCUAAGGCAUAGAAUGAUACGAAAGUUUGAUGCCGAAGAUCACGAGAACAGGGUCGAGGAAAAAUCUAGACGAGCGACCCUUUCGAAAGCAAAGAUAACAACAUGAAUGAGACUCGGUCAUUUCAUGUUAAACAUAGCAUCAAAGUAUUUUCAUAGAAAGUUUCCCCCUUUUUAAAUCGAAUGGAACAGAAUAGUCCUCCGGACUGAGGAUUCAAUCUAUAGGUACGAAGUUAAUGUUCUCUAUCUCACUAGUUAGUCGUCUCGACGGUAUACAUUUCGAUUACAUACGAAGGAUUGAGUUUAGAAUAUGUUCGAAUAGAUAGAUAACAGGUUUCCCUUUUUGCACCCAAAAUCGAAAAGAGUUGCAAGUAUAAGAAUUAUCAAAGAGAGAUAUACCUGCGGCAGCAGAGGGAUUUGUGGUUGUAGCUGUCUUGGGACAAUUCCUUUUGAAGUGCCCAGCUUCACCACAAUUGUAGCAGGCCGGACUGAUUCCCGUUCCGGAUGAUUGGUUUGUUGGCUUGGCUGGUUUUCUGCAGGUUCGCGCAAGAUGGCCCUUAUUGCCACAGUUGUCGCAGAUCCUUUCGCGACAUGGUCCAGGAAUGCGGUGGUGGUAGUUGCACUUACCACACCAAGGAAGGGUACCAGUGUAUCCACUGGCGGGAGUUUGGGCUGUGGAACCUACAGCUGAAACAGCAACAGGGGCAGUAGCAGCAUGGACUGCUACCGUUUGCUGUUUCUUAGAAGACCCUUGCGUACUCUGGGCCUUCCGCUUGUUCCAGGAUUUCUUUUUACUUCCGCCUCCACUAGUGACUGGCUCGGGGGUAGUAGCUUCUUCAUCAGAGUUGUCUUCGUGAUCUAUCAGGAUUUUCGCAAGGCACUUAGCACUGUCAUAUGUGUCUGGCUUCGCAGCCAAGACAUUCCCCUUUGUUGGCUGGGUCAACCCCCAGAUGAAUCUCUCUAUCUUUUUACUUUCCGGGGUAACCAUUCCCGGACAAAGUAGGGCCAGAUCGUCGAAUCUUGAGGUAUAAGCAGCUAUGUCAGAACCCUUCAUCUUAAGGUUCCAUAGUUCAUGUUCUAGCUUCUGAAGUUCGCCCCGAGGGCAAUACUCUGCGAGAAGAAGCUCCUUCAUAGCUUCCCAACCCAUAGCAUUGGCUACAGGUAAAGUUAAGGAUUUGACUCGGCCAUUCCACCAAGUCAGGGCUUUGUCUAGGAAGGUACAGGCGGCAAACUUGACUCUAUCAGACUCCGAACAGCCACAUAUUUCAAAGAUUGAUUCGAUUCUCUCGAACCAUCGGGUUAAAGCAAUGACACCCCCUGUGCCAUCGAAGAAUGUCGGUUUUGCGUUCAUGAAGUCUUUAUAGGAACCCCCUUUUUGGUGUCCCUGGCUAUCUUCUGGGUUUUGGGGUUGGGGAUCACCUCCUGAAUUUCUAGAGUUCAUUUGCGACAUGGCUGCUACCAUUGCAGCAGUCAGAACUGUCUGAAGCGAUGCAAGAUCAAGUUGAAGAGGAGGAUUGUUGUUGUUCGUUGAGCUGGGUCUCUUUCUUGGAGGCAUCGUGAUCUAACAAGAUCAGGAAAGAGAGGAUCAUAAGUCCUCUGAAUUGAAUCAAGAGAUAUGGGACAGGAGAUAUCUCAUCAAGGCAAAUAUAGCAUCAUACUAAGCGAUAAAGCAGAAAGGAGUUAUCAAGAUAGAACAUUUUAUCGCUAGAGGAAUGAUCAAGGAAUAACGCGUAUACAAGGAUUUCUACAAAGGAUCGGCUCGAGAAAUACUCCCAUAGUAUUUCAUGGUUCGCUGCAGCGACGAUUUGUUGUUUGGGAUAUUGGGUAAGUUUUAGGUAUGCCGCAUGCCACAGUCACUCCCAAGCACAUGUUGGCCGUGUCUCGAAUGAAUAUAGUUGGCCAGGCUAUAUUGACCCUAGACACGACUACAUAACUGCCCAGGUUUAACCGCAGUGUACAACACCCAUUUACUUAUGUUUUGUUCUACUUGUAGUUACGGAUUUCGACGGCUCGGCAUACUUAAAUACUUUUGAAAAUACUUAUAUCUUGUAGGAUACUUUUAGUUCAGAGCACUUAGGCCCCUUAAUGUUUAUAGUUUUAUACCAUGUAAGGUUUGGUAUACUCUGUUCACUAUAAACAAGGGCUCUGAUACCAAUCUGUCACACCCCGAAAACCAA